GGACAGGUAGCUUAGUGGUAAAGCAGUCCGUGAGGCCAUUGCAACAUACAAUGCAUGUAUGUUGCAAUGGCCUCACGGACUGACCUAGGUUCGAUUCCUAGCCUGUCUA